UACAUAGCUAACUGAGUUAAGCACUGAAAAAAGACAGCCUCAGUCUCUGGAGAAUGUCUUCAGAAGAACAAGGUAACUGGGGUACUAGGUCACUGCAAAUCUACUUCCGAAAAUCAGUAAAACAGACAGAGGAGAAAAUAGUCCAUGCAAUAUUAAUGUAUAUUGCAUUCAAAAAAGAAAUAUGCUCUGACUGCCCUGCCUCUGUAACCUGGUGCCCUAAUUUUACACAUUCUAAGACUUAUGCACUCCUAAACCGUCUGCCUGAUACCUGUCCCUCCCUGAAAUGUUUAUGUCUCAAAAUUCUUCAUUUCUUCUUUUUUAGAGAGUAGAAUCAUCAAGAUGCAAGUAUGUUUGAGUGAAAAACAUAACAAUGUUGAAUCAGAAGGAGAGAAACUACUGCAGUGGCCCAGAGGACUGCAAGUGCCUGAAAGCUCACUGGGGAUGGAAAAUAUGACUUCCCUCUAGUUUCUUCAUUCUGGGUUUGUCAAGGAUACACACCCUACAGAGAGACCCCUCACCUUUCCCCACAAACGGUACCUCCUUUUCCUUCCCCUACUCAGUAGGAAUGUGCUCUUUAAGGAUUCUGCAAGAGCAGAACUGGUGAGAAAGGUGCUUUUAAAAACAGUGCUGUGGACUUCCAUCCUAACCCAGUGCAGAGCACUGGCACAGUAUGUAAAUGCUUAGUAUAUUUCUUUUCAUGUUUGUUAUGAUCAAAAAGUCAUUACUGACUUCACCAUUGUAAACAAUGAAACACCAAGCUAUGAGUGAUGAUUUAAAGUGAAAAUACAGCACAGGAGCCCCCAAAACACCUUAUACUACAUCAUGCAAUAAUGUAAUAAUCCCCAAAAGCCCAAGCCAGCAAAUAUGCUGCACAGAAAACUGGUAAGACACUGAAAAGCAAACUUCGCCAAGAAAAAAAGUUCCACUGAAAUUUUUAUUCAGCUUAUGAUAGUGUAUACCAUUUUCUUUUGGCCUUUGUAAUUUCUCUGUCAUUUAGUUUCUAAGAGAACAUUGGUCAGCAGGCUUUAUAACUGUUUUCUUCAGAUGGAGAAGAAUCAUGAUAAAGGUCACAUUUCCACUGCUAAGUGCUCUUGGAUAUGGUGAUCCUGAAGAAACUGCUGCCUGUGGAGACUGCACUGAUGGAACAGGGGAGCCACAGUCUGUUAGGCAUAGAAAGCAUGUCCUAAGACACAGUUCAUUCUUAUGGAAAUUUACAUGAUUUAGGGUUUAUGUUUCCAUGUAAACCCAUAAAACAUAAUCCACACAAUUUUAGAACAACGUUACACUCUAUUUUAUAAGGAACAGAAAAAUCAGCUAUAUAAUUUGCCAUCUCCCUUGCCCAAAUGUGUCAAUACUUAAUUGAUCCUUGCUUUUCCUUUUUGGUUGAGCUAAUCAAGAUAAAUGUAAAAGCAACGGUGCCUAAAAGAACAGGCACUCAGCAUAUAGUUGAUUGAAAGAAAUAAGAGGGAGACCCAUAGAGAAACUAUGAACAUGAUAAAAAAUGUUGAUUAAAACAAUAUAGUCAUCUGGCUGUCUUUCGUUUACUUACAUGAAUGAGCCAAUAAAAUCAACGUUUACUUCACUGUAUGGAAAAUGUGAGUAAAUAUAAUUCAGUUGAAAAUCAAGAUCUAUACAAUUUCAGAUAGAGCAACAAUUAGAGAGUCAUUGAAAAGUUAGUAAGGGAAGUGGAAAAAGAUAAAGAGAAGUGGGCAAUGUAUAACCUAGGAAGAGGUGCCACUGAGUAGUAGAGAGGUAUGAUGGUGAAGACAGUCAGUGCGAGGGCUGGUCAGACAGUAGUUUUCCAGUUCAUCACUGGCUUCCUUGAAAGGUACCAUUUUCAUUCUGUAAAGGUUUCUUGGAUGAGACGAGUUUUUACAUGAAGGAUUUGGAGGAAGUGGUGCAGCUGGCUGUCAGAGCGGAAUAUCAUUUGUGAGCAGCAGGGAAGAAUGCCUGCAUGCUAGAAAGAAAUGAAGGAUGACGAAAUGAGCCCAGUGCAUUAGGCUGGAAGGAAAGCCACAGAGGGGCUGCAAAAGGAUGCGCCAUGGCAGUUAAUACACAGCCACCUCGGGGGACAGCAGGCCUAACAAUAACCAUGUCAAAACUCAAUUCCAUAUCAAUGAGAAAGAUGUUGUGAGGAAUUCAAAUCAAAUAAAAAUAAAGGCCAUCAAAGCAUACAGAGAAUAGGAUAGUACAAAAAGAAUGGUGCCCCAUCUCUGCCUCGUGAACUACAUCAUCCUUAAACUUCCCUGCUCUAGAUUCUAAAGUCAUUGUGACCAGGGGACCAAGCAGCAACCUUCGUGUUUCCAGAAAUAGCAGAUGAUGCAAGGUUUUCCAUUCAGAACUGGCAAUUUUUAGCCUUCUUUCAUCAUUAAGCAAAUAAUAAAAAUAAUCAUAGCUUGUUUUAUCAAGUGCUUCUGACUUGGCAGGCACUGCUCUGUGCACUGCAUGAGUGAACUCAUACCAUCCUCGCAAAAACUCUAUGCUAUUAUGAUCCCCAUUUCUCAGUUGAGGAAAACAGGUACAGGAAUGUUAAGUAACUCUCCCAGAGUCGCAGAGCUAGUAAACAAGGAGGCGUGGGUUCCUCCUGAGCCCAUGUUCAUGACCAAUACACAUUGGCUGUCUCCUGAGACACUGGCACCAGCACUGAAUAUGACCUUGGAAAAUCUUGCACUGCCUUCCAAGGCCCUCAUUUUCAUAGGCAGACAGGACCUAUAGGUGAACACUGAGUUAUUCCGUCUCUAUCAGAUGCAUGCCCAUGGAGAGGGUUCAUGGGCUAAUGCCUAGGACCCAGGGAGAGUUUGACACAUUUAUCCUUCAC
rnacentral:lncRNA from 1 species